ensembl:lncRNA
UGUGCAGAGUGACUGCCAGCCACCUCACUGAUAUGUAAAAACUAUACAUAGAAAAAAAACAGAUCAUGUUGGGUUUUUGUUAGCCGGCCUGUCUCUCUCCGUUUCUCUUAAUAAAAAUAGUAAAACAUUUUAUUUGUAUAGCACCUUUCAUCGUGGUGGACGGCCUCAAGGUGCUCGACAGGGCAUUGAAGCAAUACCACGGAACAACUCUUUGUCUCUCCGUCUGGAGGAAUGCCGACAAGAUGCCAGAGGCCGGAAGAAACGUUCAUUAUAACUCAUAAUGGACAUUCGGUCAGGGGAGAGAUGAUCAAGACACAUACAAUUAUAAAUCCAUUCAUAUGUAUUUUUAAAACCUAAACACAAAGAACCAAUUGUUAUUGACGCAGUCAGUUUAUUUGAUUAGACACCUUUUUGGAAAAACUGGCAUGAAAAGGGGAGAUACAAAAAGAGGGAGCGUUUUUGCCUUCAGGCCCGCCUUGAGCUGUUGCGGGCUCAUAGUAAUAGACUCAACUAAUGGCUACAUUAUAUUCACGGGCAUAUCAGCACACUCAUGGGCGAGGGGGAGAGAGAGAGAGAGAGAGAGAGAGAGAGAAAAUAAAGAGAUUCAUUAAUCACAUUGGAAGGUGAUGAUUUCAAUCAAUGGCAUACCAAUCACGUAUAUUAUUUUAUUGCUAUAGAAAAACAAACACCCACACACACACACAUUAAUGGUCCCCUUGGAUAUAAAUGUACAACAUUAGGUUCACCUGCCUGGAUGGACGAGGUGCUGUUUUGUGCACAGUGCGAUGCUGUCUUAUUUAUGGCCAUCCAAUGGCUGUGCUGUUUGACAAAGCAUUAAAAGGAGCAACGACAUGUGAAUGUGUAAACCUUGGCUUUCUAAGACUUGGCACGCAUGCACACACACACACACACACACACACACACACACACACACACACACACACACACACACACACACACACACACACACACACACACACACACACACACACACUGUGGUUAUAAGAGCAGAAUAUUGGUUACCAUUUAGUUUAGCUUUGUGUCCUCCAUUGAACUGCGGGAAAAUGCUCAACGUGCAGUAUUUUGAAUUAUGAGUCAAACAGCGCAGCCUUCCUGUUCUUCUUAGAAUCUUGAUUUGGUGUGUGUGCUCGGUGUGUCUAAGAGAGUAUGUUUGCGCCUCAGAAAGCACCCUUCCCCCUACACUCUGGGGCCACCGCUCACCGGAUAUACAAUAUUUGCUAUGUUUCUGAAGAAAAAAAAUAAAGAUACCUUUCAAAGAUAAAACUGUCUGAGAUUCCUUAAAGAGAUAAAACAGUGAGAGGAGCCAGAGGCCGUAGUUACCCCUCCCCCCUUCUGUCACCCAGUAGAAAAACAUGGAAGCAACCAAACAUUUCCAUUUUGUUAAAAUCGCUAGUACAUCGGAGAGUGAAGUCGAUGUAAUCGUCCUAUCGAGCGGUAUAAAUCCGCUGUGUUAUUUGGAGAAGGCUCUGGGCAGGGGAACUUGCUGAGUGGGUUAUUGGAUUGCGUAGCGUCGGGAGUGCGUAGCUGUUUUUUUUCUUCUUCUUUUUUUUUUUUUGCAAGACCUAAGGAACC